rnacentral:lncRNA from 1 species
ACGAUUGUCUCAUUUAGAGGGACUCUCUAACCUGAGUACACAUUUGAAACAUCUGAGGGCUUUGAAACAUACCUGCUCCUGGACCACCUGCUGAACCAAUUAAAUCAGAAUUUCUGUUGUGAAGAUCUCCACGUGAGUUUAAGCUUUCCUGCUCAACUGUUAGUUCCAUGAAGGCAACAGCCAUGCCUGCUUCGUUCACUGAAAUAUCUUCGUUUCCUAACACACAGAAAGUCAUCAUUUUUUGACGGAUGAAAGAAUGGAUGAAUGCCUAGUCUUGGAGACAUCUACUUGCAAUAAAGGUUAGAUGAAGGAAAUGGAUGCCAGUGGGAGAUUUGUGGAUCUAUUUCACCAGAUUUCACUCUGCUGACUCAGCAAAAUGGUCCCCGAAGAAAGUGAAGAAACAGAGGCAAAGGGAGCAUAAGCAAUUUUCCAAAGGCCAUACAACAUGUAAGUGGCUGAGCCAAGACUGAAAUCACCAGGUUCUUAACCACUAGGCCAUAUUGCAUUGGAGUGUUGCCUCCUGGAGUAAGACUAGGCUAAAAGCUUCAUAGAAACCUAAAGGAGUUAGAGAAGGAAGAUCUCUCAAUGGAAAUGCUAAGAAGAGACACAAGGAAAGACACAUCACUAAGGAGAGACCCAAGGAAAAUGGCUCUAUGACUACAGUCCAUUUAAAGAAUGAGGGCGUUCCUUCUACCAAGUUACAGGUGGAGAUGUGUUUACCUGCUGGAUACCAAUGCUUCUAGCAUCAGGGAGAAGUUGAGCCCUGGAGGAAACAUUGCCUCUAAGUUUGUGUUCUGGUGCUACAUACUGCAAAGCAAAGUAUCUACAACAACUGCAAUAAGCCACCCUGAUCAUUCUUCAACCUAAAGAUUUGCAACUCAUCCAAGUUCAACUGGUUGAAAGAGCCUGCCUCCUCACAGCAGUGCCUGAUUGACACUAUGAACUGAAAUACUAAAGGCACUUCUUCUUUCAGGAUAACUGAUUAAAUGUUCUGGCUGGUAAAGCAGGUCAUCACUCAACUGUUGUGGCUUUGGCAAGAUGCCACCAAAGCAGCCCAUCAUGGUUGGCAGAGAUGUAAAGGCCCCACAUAUUACAGAACACCCUUUGAUAUGCAGACUAAUUAAUAGAAGACCUAAGCCUUUCAAGGGACUUCUAUACCAUAGGAUGUUAGGAGACAUCAAGAACACAAAUGAAACUAAGAUUUUCAUACAGGGUUCAGGUUUUGUUACUUCAGAUCUAUAAUCUAAAGUUCUGUAAUCAUCACAUCACUCCAAGAACAAAAUUUGAUAGGCAAAAUUCUUCACACUCAUUUCAUGGAGAACCUUGAGGGUCCAGAGUGAGGCUUGAUGGCAAGCAGGAGCUCCCUGUCCCCUGUCUCCACCCAUGCAACCCCUAGCUCCCCCAUUGUUUUCACUCUAGAUUUGUGAAGUAUAACAACCUUAAAAUCUUAAGAUUUAAUCUUUAAAUAUUAAGAGAUUUGGGUUUCUGUAUCAACAAUCUUUAAAUAUUAAGAGAUUUUUCCGAAGAUUAAUGACUUUCCUAGAGUUGGCCUACAAAUUCACCACCUCAACUGGAUGACUUGCUUUGGAAUAAAUUUCUAACACCGCAAGUGAAUUGAAUAUUUUCUUCCUUUUUUAUGUAAUCUAAUAUAGUACAUUUUUAAAAAUUUAUAGGAUGUCCAGACACUUAUAGCUUAUCAUUCUAUGAUUCAAAAGAAUUUGGUAUAAUUGCAUUGAUAAGCUUACUGCCCUGGGCACCAAAGUAACCUAGAAUAUGGAGAAGUAGCUUUUGGUGACAUGCAUCUAUUUAUAUCUCUAGCAUUUACUAAUUAAUUAAUUUGUUUAACAAAUACACAUUCAGUACCAUUAUAUGUUUGGCAUUGUCAUAGAUGUUAGAAAAUCAAAUAUAAAAAAGAGGUAAUUUCUUCACAACACACGGAAAUAAGAGUAUCUCUAGGAAUUGUCUCUAGUUGAAAUUGUUUUCUCCUACCCACCUCUACGAUUCAUCAAUUUAGCUUUCCUUCACUGUAGUGACAGGUGUUUUAAUCUCACCUAACAAUAUGCCUGAUUAAGCUUCAACAUACACAGAGAGAGGCCUGAAAAACAUAACUUGGUCUCUAUGUCUAAGUUUAUGUUGUUAGUAAUAGUUAUAAGAGCCACAGCGAUGGCACCAUGGCGUUACCUUCUCUGAAGGCUUUCCCAGCUUUCCUAGCAAAGCUCUUUUCUCUUCCCUCUGGUUAAAAAAUAAAUAAAAAAAAAAUAAAGGUUUUUCCUUUAUUGUUAUUCUUAUGUGUCUGAUUUUAUCACAUUUAUUGUUUUGUUUUCUGAUUGUAUAAGUCAUACAUGCUCAUUUAGAAAACUUGGAAACUAUGGAAAAAGAGAAAUAAAAAAUAAAAUCCA